UACGAAGGGGGCUAGCGUUGCUCGGAUUGACUGGGCGUAAAGGGCGCGUAGGCGGUUUGCACAGUCAGACGUGAAAUUCCUGGGCUCAACCUGGGGGCUGCGUUUGAUACGUGUAGACUUGAGUGCGGAAGAGGGUCGUGGAAUUCCCAGUGUAGAGGUGAAAUUCGUAGAUAUUGGGAAGAACACCGGUGGCGAAGGCGGCGACCUGGUCCGAUACUGACGCUGAGGCACGAAAGCGUGGGGAGCAAACAGG
rnacentral:rRNA from 1 species